rnacentral:rRNA from 1 species
UACAGAGGUCCAAGCGUUGUUCGGAUUCAUUGGCGUAAAGGGUGUGUAGGUGGCGCCGUAAGUCGGUGUGAAAUCUCGGGCUUAACUCCGAACUGCAUUCGAUACUGCGUGCUUGAGGACUGGAGAGGAGAUGGAAUUCAUGGUGUAGCAGUGAAAUGCGUAGAGAUCAUGAGGAAGACCAGUGGCGAAGGCGGGUCUCUG